UACGUAGGGUGCGAGCGUUGUCCGGAAUUAUUGGGCGUAAAGGGCUCGUAGGCGGUCUGUUGCGUCGGGAGUGAAAACUUACAGCUUAACUGUGAGCGUGCUUCCGAUACGGGCAGACUUGAGGUAUUCAGGGGAGAACGGAAUUCCUGGUGUAGCGGUGAAAUGCGCAGAUAUCAGGAGGAACACCAAUAGCGAAGGCAGCUCGCUGGGACGGUACUGACGCUAAGGCGCGAAAGCGUGGGGAGCGAACAGG
rnacentral:rRNA from 1 species